GGCGGACGGGUGAGUAAUGCCUAGGAAUCUGCCUGGUAGUGGGGGACAACGUUUCGAAAGGAACGCUAAUACCGCAUACGUCCUACGGGAGAAAGCAGGGGACCUUCGGGCCUUGCGCUAUCAGAUGAGCCUAGGUCGGAUUAGCUAGUUGGUGGGGUAAUGGCUCACCAAGGCGACGAUCCGUAACUGGUCUGAGAGGAUGAUCAGUCACACUGGAACUGAGACACGGUCCAGACCCCUACGGGAGGCAGCAGUGGGGAAUAUUGGACAAUGGGCGAAAGCCUGAUCCAGCCAUGCCGCGUGUGUGAAGAAGGUCUUCGGAUUGUAAAGCACUUUAAGUUGGGAGGAAGGGUUGUAGAUUAAUACUCUGCAAUUUUGACGUUACCGACAGAAUAAGCACCGGCUAACUCUGCGCCAGCAGCCGCGGUAAUACAGAGGGUGCAAGCGUUAAUCGGAAUUACUGGGCGUAAAGCGCGCGUAGGUGGUUUGUUAAGUUGGAUGUGAAAUCCCCGGGCUCAACCUGGGAACUGCAUUCAAAACUGACAAGCUAGAGUAUGGUAGAGGGUGGUGGAAUUUCCUGUGUAGCGGUGAAAUGC
rnacentral:rRNA from 1 species